rnacentral:snRNA from 9 species
AUACUUACAAGGCGUAGGGAUACCGUUAUCAUGCAGGCGGUUCCUCAGGGUGAGGCUGCUCCAUUGCACUACGGAGUGGUUGACCCUUGCGAUUAUUUUUUAUAAGUUUCACUCCUACGCACUUGC